rnacentral:lncRNA from 12 species
GGGGAGUGUUUGACCCAAUCCACUGCUCUGUCCUCUAAAGGAAUUAAGCAAAAAAAACAUUUUUUUUUUCUCUUCAGGACAGAUCUUCAGAAGGGAAGGAUCAUAAAAGGAUUAUGGGAAUUCAGAGCCAUAAGAGAAUUUAGAGAUCAUGUGGAAGAAAGAUUGAAAUAAGUACUAAAAUCUGGAGUGAAAGAGUUGCAAGUUUGCUUAUCUUUAUAAAGUUUGCUGAUAUCUAGACCUUGGGACCCAAUGCUUUAAGGCAUCUUGUUUCACCUUGAAAGGCACCUCCUCAUUAGAAAGACUUGUCAUUUCAACAAAGAAAAGUCACUGGCUGAUAACCUAAUCUUUGAAAAAGAGUUUGGAUUU